rnacentral:rRNA from 1 species
GAGUUUGAUCCUGGCUCAGAUUGAACGCUGGCGGCAUGCCUUACACAUGCAAGUCGAACGGUAACAGGUCUUCGGAUGCUGACGAGUGGCGAACGGGUGAGUAAUACAUCGGAACGUGCCCGAUCGUGGGGGGAUAACGGAGCGAAAGCUUUGCUAAUACCGCAUACGAUCUACGGAUGAAAGCAGGGGACCGCAAGGCCUUGCGCGGACGGAGCGGCCGAUGGCAGAUUAGGUAGUUGGUGGGAUAAAAGCUUACCAAGCCGACGAUCUGUAGCUGGUCUGAGAGGACGACCAGCCACACUGGGACUGAGACACGGCCCAGACUCCUACGGGAGGCAGCAGUGGGGAAUUUUGGACAAUGGGCGAAA